rnacentral:rRNA from 1 species
AAUGAACGUUGGCGGCGUGGAUUAGGCAUGCAAGUCGAGCGAGAACCCCGCAAGGGGGGACUGCGGCGAAAGGGACAGUAAUGUGUAGAUUAUCUGCCCUCAGGUCCGGGAUAGCUGCGGGAAACUGCAGGUAAUACCGGAUAACAUCUCCGGAUCAAAGGUGUGAUUCCGCCUGAGGAUGAGUCUGCAUCCUAUUAGCUAGUUGGUGGGGUAAUGGCCUACCAAGGCAUUGAUGGGUAGCAGGUGUGAGAGCACGACCUGCGUCAUUGGGACUGAGACAUCGAGCAGACACCGACGGGCGGCUGCAGUCGAGAAUCUUCGGCAAUGGGCGCAAGCCUGACCGCGCGACGCCGCGUGUGGGAUGACGGUCGUCGGGUUGUAAACCACUGUCAGAGGGGAUGAAAUGCAGGUGGGUUCUCCCAUCUGUUUGACAUAGCCGCAGAGGAAGGACGGGCUAAGUUCGUG